rnacentral:rRNA from 1 species
UACGUAGGGGGCAAGCGUUGUCCGGCAUUAUUGGGCGUAAAGCGCGCGCAGGCGGUCAUUUAAGUCUGGUGGUUAAGCCCGGGGCUCAACCCCGGUUCGCAUCGGAAACUGGAUGACUUGAGUGUAGGAGAGGAAAGUGGAAUUCCACGUGUAGCGGUGAAAUGCGUAGAUAUCCUGAGGAACACCGGUGGCGAAAGCGGCGCGCUGGACCCCUUCUGACGCUGAGGCGCGAAAGCCAGGGGAGCAAACGGG